UACAGAGGGGAGCAAGCGUUAUUCGGAAUUAUUGGGCGUAAAGGGCGCGUAGGCGGCCUGGCAAGUGGAAGGUGAAAUCCCUCGGCUUGAACCGAGGAACUGCCCUCCAAACUGCUUGGCUUGAGACCGGGAGAGGUGAGUGGAAUUCCAGUGUAGCGGUAGAAAUGCGUAGAUAUUGGGAGGAACACCAGUGGCGAAGGCGGCUCACUGGACCGGUACUGACGCUGAGG
rnacentral:rRNA from 1 species